rnacentral:rRNA from 1 species
GAGAACUUAGCAGAGAUGCUUUGGUGCCUUCGGGAACUCUGAGACAGGUGCUGCAUGGCUGUCGUCAGCUCGUGUUGUGAAAUGUUGGGUUAAGUCCCGNAACGAGCGCAACCCUUAUCCUUUGUUGCCAGCGGUUCGGCCGGGAACUCAAAGGAGACUGCCGGUGAUAAACCGGAGGAAGGUGGGGAUGACGUCAAGUCAUCAUGGCCCUUACGGCCAGGGCUACACACGUGCUACAAUGGCGCAUACAAAGAGAAGCGACCUCGCGAGAGCAAGCGGACCUCAUAAAGUGCGUCGUAGUCCGGAUUGGAGUCUGCAACUCGACUCCAUGAAGUCGGAAUCGCUAGUAAUCGUAGAUCAGAAUGCUACGGUGAAUACGUUCCCGGGCCUUGUACACACCGCCCGUCACACCAUGGGAGUGGGUUGCAAAAGAAGUAGGUAGCUUAACCUUCGGGAGGGCGCUUACCACUUUGUGAUUCAUGACUGGGGUGAAGUCGUAACAAGGUAAGCGUAGCGAG